AGUUUGAUUCUGGCUCAGGACAAACGCUGGCGGCGUGCUUAACACAUGCAAGUCGAACGAUGAAACGGAACGGAAAUUUUCGGACGGAAGUUCCGUGGAUUAGUGGCGGACGGGUGAGUAAUGCAUGAAGAACCUGCCUUUCACAUAGGAAUAGCCUCGGGAAACCGGGAUUAAUACCAAAUGACACUCCGAGAUCGCAUGUUUUUGGGGUUAAAGAUUUUAUCGGUGAAAGAUGGCUUCAUGUCCCAUUAGCUGGUUGGUGAGGUAACGGCUCACCAAGGCGACGAUGGGUAGCCGGCCUGAGAGGGUGAACGGCCACAUUGGAACUGAGACACGGUCCAAACUCCUACGGGAGGCAGCAGUGGGGAAUAUUGCACAAUGGAGGAAACUCUGAUGCAGCGACGCCGCGUGAGCGAUGAAGGUCUUCGGAUCGUAAAGCUCUGUCCUAAGGGACGAUAAUGACG
rnacentral:rRNA from 1 species